UAUAUAUGUAUUUAACCCAAAUUUUGACCCAUAAAAAUGAAUUGUUUAGUAAAUAGUAAAACAUGUUCUUGUCAAAAAUCCAUCCUAAUGUAAUUACCAGUUUAUUAUCCUGAUGGGCAUGAGGCUCCACUAUAAUUUGAAAAUAAAAUGCAUUUAAAACAAUUAAUUUUCUGAAUUUUGUAGCUUAGCAAGAGUAUUCACCUUUGUGAUCCUGUAACUGGCAGAAGAGCUGUGGCUUACUGUUAAUGACCAGCAUUCCAAGAAACUAUCAAACCACAUAUUAGCUUAAGAAAAGACAACAAUUCUAACAUUCAAGGACAGUAUCACUUCCACACCAUUAUAAGUUGAGGAGGCUGUCUGUACAGAGUGUAAAUUUUCUUAGAAUAACUAGCCUACUUAGUGUAUAAUGUCUUUUUAAAUGAUAAUAAGAUUGUAUAUAUUUCUAAGCUUAUACUUUGUGUUUAUAUUAAAGCUUUUUUUUUUAACUGUUUGAACACAUCAGAGACCAGAAAUAGCUGGAAUGCUAUCUUAAACCAAAAAUCUAUUUAAAGGCUUAUUUAAUGCUGCUUAAAUGAAGAAAGAUAUAUAAAACAUCCAAAACUCCACCUGGUAAUUAUCCUGUUGAGAACACUGGUCAGUAUGUCACUCAAUCCAAGUCGACCUUCUUCAUCAGAGCUGGUGGAACUUCAUGUUUUUUAUGUCCCUGAAGGAUCGUGGAACUAUAAAUUAAAUACUAUUUCAAUAGAAGUUAUUAACAAGUUUAUUUCUGCUGGAUUUAUAAGAGUAUCUCCUGAACUUACUUUACAAGCUCUGAGGGAGCGCCUUGGUGAGUUUCUCGGUGUAGAUGCUGUUGCAGAAAAAUUUUUAUUUCUGAAAUGCAUUGGAAAUAAUUUAGCUGUGGUGAAGGAAAGGCAAGAAUCAGAACUGAAACUCAAAGCAUUUGCUCCUCCAUAUGCUCUUCAGCCAGAAUUAUAUUUGCUUCCUGUAAUAGACCACUUAGGAAAUGUUUAUUCAGCAUCUUCACCAGUUACUUUAGAUGAACGUCAGAGUAAUAAUGAUACCACAGAGAUUAAUGGAAUAAUCCACAGACCAGAUAGUAUAACUUUAUCAAAGGAUGAACCUGGAGAUCCAACUUUGUUGGAAAAUAUUUGGAAAGACUUUACAAAUCAAGAAGAAGCUGAGGAAAGCCAGACUACACAAAACCACCAUGGAAGUUCUGAGGUACCAGGAUCAUUGGAAGAGUCAAAUGAUUGUUUGGGGAACCUAAAAAGUCCAUAUCUUUGGAAAGAUGAUGAUGAUAAUACAGCUAUCAAUAGAUGGCAGGCCAAACCGGUGCGUGACAAGGAGCACAUCACCCUACCAGAUCUUAUUGAUUUCCCUUCAUUUCCUUCUCAGCGAGUUUCUUCAAGAUUAACAGAUUCCUCUUUGUUAAAAAUCGAGAGAGAGAAGAUUAUUGAACAAAUGAAACAAGUAAAGGAAGAAAGAAAAUAUCUGGAAAAUAUUAGAGAAGAACUAUUAAAAAAAGUUGAAAAGCUAUUUGAACAAAAUAAAUCAAAACGAUAUCAUGUCUGUGACAGCUGGAAGAAAAAAUACUUGGACACCAAGAAAGUCACAGCAUCACUGGAGGAAGUUUUAACAAAACUUCGAGAAGAUUUGGAACUUUACUAUAAAAAACUCCUCAUGCAGCUUGAAGCCAGGGAGAUCAAGAUGCGACCAAGGAAUCUGGCAAAUAUCUCAGAUUCAAAGAAUUAUCUUAUAAUCCAGAUCACUGAAGUACAGCAUGCAAUUGACCAACUUAAGAGAAAACUGGAUACUGAUAAAAUGAAACUCAUAUUAGAAGUUAAGAUGAGGAAACAAGCAGUUUCAGAUUUACAGACACUGAAAGCUGAACUGACACAGAAGAAAAUGGGCACAUCCUUCCGACCACCAAUAUCUUAAAAGCAAACUGCAAAUGUCGAAGAAAAACAAGAAAACUAGGCAAGAAAUGAGUAUUAAUAAGUGAAGGACCAUGAAUGACUACAAGUAUAAACAGUGAAUAGAAUCAAGUUCAACAGCAGCUGCUUCUCACUACAAGAAUUUUACACAUAAAUCUCACAGCAGUUUCUGGAAGUGUGCCAACUUAGGAAUUCGACAGAUGAAGACUGUUUGUGAUAAAUCGGCCAGAAGAACAGGUAAUAGCAGUGAAGGAGGAAAGUGCCAUCUGCCUGGGUCUUAGAGAAUCGAUUCUAAAAGGCUGCUGGAGGGGACUCCCUGGAUGACUUAGCACAGAACUGAUCAAGAACAAUGAACUAGAUUGUGGUCUUGUACCCUGUACCACUGUCUUUCAAGAAACACAUGGGUUAUUUAAAAAUAAAUGAAAGGACCAGAUGUAGGCAAAAGAACAAAUGAAGGAGGAAAAUGUAUUAGGAGAAAAAAACAGAACUAUAGUGAAAAAUAUGUUUUAUAUGCAUGAAUAAACCACUUAAAGGCAAUUCUGAA